UCUUGCCUUUCUCACAGCCACAGUCAUUUGACACCAGUCUCCCUUCAGAAUCCUCUGUAUUCUGGGAUCACCUCUGACUUCUGUCAGCUGGAACCUGAAGAAAUGAGACAAGUAUUUGAGCGAUUUGGCAUCAAUCUGCAAUUCCUCCUUCUUUCACGGUUCUCCCUAUUCCUGGCCAGUCAUGUCAGGAAGUCUGGACAUCCCAUUUGGCCAAAAUCUUUGCUGAAGAUAAAGAAAUAA
rnacentral:lncRNA from 9 species